UUUUGCUAAGCAACAGUCCUUCUGUAGCAGAGCUUAACGGAGACCUUGCAUCCGGGAGGGGGGAGGCGACUAUAAAAGAACUCCCAGCGCAAGUCAGCCUAGCUGGCAACACAAUCGAAUUGCGGGGACGCUUUAAAGCUCACCAAUACCAACUGCUCUUCCAAGGCAGGGCUAGCUGUAGCUAGAGGUCACAACCUGGUGGGAUGCUACAAUAAGCAAUCCGCAGCGGCUCAGCCGUCCACAGACUAAGUGGUUGUGGGUAGGUAACCCCUACUUAAGUUUUAGGCGGACCUUGUGACAAGUCACAGGUGCUUCUGCGUCCGUAGGUGAACCUGCGGAGGGAUCAUUAAUAAAAGGAUACCUUCGGGUAUACCCCACCCGUGUCUAUCUACUCUUGUUGCUUUGGCAGGCCGUGGUCUACCGCUGUGGGCUCUGCCUGAAUGUGCCUGCCAGAGGACCAAACUCUGAAUUUUAGUGAUGUCUGAGUACUAUAUAAUAGUUAAAACUUUCAACAACGGAUCUCUUGGUUCUG
rnacentral:misc_RNA from 1 species